UGAGAGCUAAAAUAAAUGUUUCCACUUCUAAGUUGUUUUAGUUAUUUAGGUCACAGAAAUGAAAACUUCACUACAAUAGAAACUUUCCUAGGUGGCUUGUUCUUAUUUAGUGUCCCAUUUUUUUCCCUGGUAUUGGAUUUCAGAACUUCCUGGGGAUGACACUUGAUACUUUCAGGGGCAUUUCACUUAGAUUGUCUAUAGACCAUCAGCUUCCUUCUCAUCUCUUUGUAGAUGGCAGACUAAGGAUUGGAGUGGAGUCUUGGGGAAAAACUUUUUUUUCCCCUGGGGCUUAGAGGCAUCUUUCUUAUUCAUUUUAUCUACAUAUGUCACCCUUUGGAACAUGAAUAUUUUUUCAAAAACCUCCAUUUUAUGGAGAUUUUUGGUGGCCUAUAGAUUGGAUCAUGGUGUUCAGGGGGAAAUACAGAACUCAUUCUCCUCUCUGCAUUUUCUCUGAAUUAUGAAUGCAAGGAGAAUAUUCCAAAGUUGAAGGAAAACCUUCACUUUUCAUGUUUACAGGAAGCCAUAAUGUACUUCAGUGAGUAAAAAUAGGGAUAGGAGAAUGUUCAAGGUGUCAGGAUGAAUUGACUUUAACCUUGGGUCUGACCUGUCUAUUUUACAGUCAGCUGUGCUGCUUCUGGGCUUGGUUACUUUGAAAAUAUUUCUUUACUUACUUUAGCUUCAGCUUUUACCUAACUGCAAAAUACACUUUAUUAGUAGAGCUUCAAACAUAAGAAAAUAUAUCAAAGCUACAGGAUGGAGUUGGAUUUUAGAAAAGGAAGUAAGUCUUACUUUACCUUGUUUAAAUAUUUUAUUUGCCCUUUUCUUCUCUGGCAUGUUAUUUAUUGGUUUCUCAUGUGCUCUGUAUUUUGGGAUGUGAUUUCAAAUAGCAUUGUAGGGCUUAACUUUGGAAAUUUUACCAGAAAUAAUAAAUAGGAAAAAUCUCUGUCCCAUUAUGGCUGAGAAAAAUGAAUGCAGUUUCUAAAAAUUGAGUGGUAGCUGCAGAGGUGAAUUCCAGAUUUACCAAGUCAUCAGGUCCUCAUACAUGAAGGCCUGUGACAGUCGAAAAAUCAUAGAUCUUACUAUCUGGAUAUUGCAGCUAAUACUAAAUUAUGUGAGAUGAGGUUU
rnacentral:lncRNA from 1 species